rnacentral:rRNA from 1 species
GACGAACGCUGGCGGCGUGCCUAAUACAUGCAAGUUGAGCGCUGAAGGUUGGUACUUGUACCAACUGGAUGAGCAGCGAACGGGUGAGUAACGCGUGGGGAAUCUGCCUUUGAGCGGGGGACAACAUUUGGAAACGAAUGCUAAUACCGCAUAAAAACUUUAAACACAAGUUUUAAGUUUGAAAGAUGCAAUUGCAUCACUCAAAGAUGAUCCCGCGUUGUAUUAGCUAGUCGGUGAGGUAAAGGCUCACCAAGGCGAUGAUACAUAGCCGACCUGAGAGGGUGAUCGGCCACAUUGGGACUGAGACACGGCCCAAACUCCUACGGGAGGCAGCAGUAGGGAAUCUUCGGCAAUGGACGAAAGUCUGACCGAGCAACGCCGCGUGAGUGAAGAAGGUUUUCGGAUCGUAAAACUCUGUUGGUAGAGAAGAACGUUGGUGAGAGUGGAAAGCUCAUCAAGUGACGGUAACUACCCAGAAAGGGACGGCUAACUACGUA